GGCCGCGGAUCCUCUGGAAUUGAAACAUUCUCCCAAACGCUGUUCCUGGUUGACUUGUGGAUGUACUCGGAAGAAAGGUCUGUGGGAAGAGGCCUCCCAGUGGAAAUUUCCGUUUCCAUUUGGACACACCGUUUUUAACUCCUCUUCUGCCAGAAACUGGCCUGGAAAUAAGCUGCUAUCUCUUAAACAAAGGGUUGUAACAAGAUGGAUGGCCACUGAUCCUCUGGAAUUGAAAUAUUCUCCCAUGUGCUGUUCCUGCUUCACUUGUGGGGGAAAAUCUGCUGAGAAGGACUGCAUGGCAUGCACCGUCGUAAAGGAGUGCAGGACCUCGUUCGGUUGUCAUGACCAAUGGUUUAACAGUCAGCGAGAGUCAUUAUUCACCAGGUGUUCUUGGUGGGUGAGGCAAAAUGGACCUUCAGCAAUGCAUGUAGUUCUUCUCUCAACGCAUGCUUGAGAAAGGAGAAAACAGUGCCUUGAGUUUCUCUUGGCAUGCUCUUCUAGGAGCCCCAUGUUUCAUAUUCAAAUGGAGUGGGAAUACACUUUUGUCCUGCUCUAAGGAAAGAGAGAUUCAUGCUUCUUUAAAAAUAAUCAGUAUAUCUGUGAUUUACGAUAUGAAUGGCCAUGUCCUCUGCUGGGAGCCU